rnacentral:misc_RNA from 1 species
GACGUAGGAGGCGAGCGUUGUCCGGAUUUACUGGGCGUAAAGGGCGUGCAGGCGGCUGGGUCCGUCGGUGGUUUAAUCUCCAGGCUUAACCUGGAGCCGCUGCCGAUACCACCUGGCUUGAGGACGGUAGAGGAGCACGGAAUUCCCGGUGUAGUGGUGAAAUGCGUAGAUAUCGGGAGGAACACUCGUGGCGAAAGCGGUGCUCUGGGCCGCUCCUGACGCUGAGACGCGAAAGCAUGGGGAGCAAACCGG